UACAGAGGGUGCGAGCGUUGUUCGGAAUUAUUGGGCGUAAAGGGCGCGUAGGCGGUGCGGUAAGUCACCUGUGAAAUCUCCUGGCUUGAACUGGGAGCCUGCAGGCGAAACUACCGUGCUGGAGUGUGGGAGAGGUGCGUGGAAUUCCCGGUGUAGCGGUGAAAUGCGCAGAUAUCGGGAGGAACACCGGUGGCGAAGGCGGUUCUCUGGGCCUUACCUGACGCUGAGGAGCGAAAGCGUGGGGAGCGAACAGG
rnacentral:rRNA from 1 species